GACGAACGCUGGCGGCGUGACUAAUCCAUGCAAGUCGAGCGAAGCGGCGGAUGGGUGAGUAACGCGUGGGUAACCUGCCCUUCAGUCUGGGAUACCAUUUGGAAACAGAUGCUAAUACCGGAUACUAACGGAUGGACCUGCGAUGCAUUAGGUAGUUGGUAAGGUAACGGCUUACCAAGGCGAUGAUGCAUGGCCAGGUUGCGAGACGGAUCGGCCAACUUGGGACUGAGACACGGCCCAAACUCCUACGGUAGGCAGAAGUAGGGAAGCUUCCACAAUGGACGAAAGUCUGAUGGAGCAACGCCGCGUGAGUGAAGAAGGUUUUCGGAUCGUAAAGCUCUGUUGUGUGUGAAGCGGUAAUCAACCAGAAAGUCACGGCUAACUACGUGCCAGCAGCCGCGGUAAUAC
rnacentral:rRNA from 1 species